AGUUUUAAAAAAUUUACGUGAAUUUGAAAUUCGACCUUUGAUAAAUGGGCCUCUUAGCUUUAUGGGAAGUGUUCACAAAUAAAAUCAUAAAUGCAUUGUAUUCACAAAUAUUUUUCUUACAUUAUACUUCUUACUUAUAUUUAUUCUUCUUAUAAUUUCAGUUAAUUUAAGCCUUGCCACGAUGGGUGAAAAGAGUAACAGCCCUGCCGGAAUAACCGAAUACAUGGCAAUUGUUCUUCAAGUUCUUGCCUGUAAUUACAAGAACGGGGCUGAAUAUGACAAUAAGCAUUGAGACGUUGAAGAGCCAGAACUACCACCAAGGCGUUAAAGGACCAGUAACAUCAAAAUUAUUUU